GUUGUCAUUUAAACAUAAUUUUCAUCAACCAAACAUAAACUGUCAGACAUCAAAGUCAACAUCACCAAGAGUCAUAAAUUUUCGUAACACACAAUGUUCCCAAUUUCCCAAGUAGCUUUACCACAAAAAGUGGACAAAGAGUGCGAUCACAUAGAAUGCAGAAAUUUAAAAUGGAAGAUCUGCUGCAAGGCGCAAGGUUGUACCAAAUCGUGCACACAUUUGAGCUGUUGCAUCAAAAUGGCACAGAAGGGUUGUCAAAAGUGCAUCUCUUGUCAACUGGGAUGCUGCCAAGCCCACUGUGUCUGGCACCAUUGUUGCAAACACGAUUGUAAAAAACCACGCGGCGGUAUCCAAGUUCCUUGUUGCUAUGAUGGAAUGUGCAUCCAGUGCCAGAUGCAACACAUUGGGGACAAUUAGUCGCAUUUUACGCCAUUAAUAAACAGUUCUAAAAUAUUUUCGUUUUAUCAUUGUAUUGAACACAUAAACAGUAAAACGCAACUAAUUAAUUUAUAUUUUUUUUUUGUAAUUUAAUGCAUCACAUCACGUCUGUGUUCUAGAUUUUACGCUAAUAUACAAAUAUAAAAACAGAUACAAAAAAUCACGACCCAAUUGAACUCGAAGAUUAGAUUGUAGUGAUUUUCAUUAAAUCGGUGUUGCACACGGUUCCACUUCAAAUCGCGUGAUAUAUAAACAUUUCAUUGUUCGGCUAUACAACAGUAUUUAAGUCGCUGUUGUCGUAUAAACUUGUGUUGAUUAAACAUGGAUGCUCCAAAAGAAGGUGAUGCUUGCUGUAAAAAAACAGCAGCAGAUGCUUGUUGCAAAAAACCAGCAACUCAAGGCACGGAAGAUAAAUGCUGCAAAACCGAGAAAAAGGAAGGUGACCAAUGCUGUCGCAAGAAGUAAAUGACUUCACACGUUUUAUUAUAGACAGUAUUCUCAAAUAUGUACUGAUUAGAUUAUGUAUUUAAUAUAAUAAUGUGAAAGAUAA